GAGCACCCUGGGAAACAGUGUGGCUAUGACUUGGAGCUGCUCACCAGUUCCAGUCAUUCUGUGGUUGAGAGCUGCUCCCUAUGGAUGUUAAUUCUUCUCUAUUUUAGAUUUUCCACAGGUGUGGGCCCCAUUAGCUCUGGCCACCUGAGAAAGCCCUCAGGCAAAGAGUCGCAGGUGAAAGCCAGCAGUUAGAGGUUCACAGAAAUGAGUGCAGAAGCAUCUUCAGUUGGAGAGCCAUUGCCUCUUGCUGUGAAAUAUUUGGGAAUCUUCAGAAACCAUGAAGAAUAACCUGCUAAAGGCCACCAAGUUCUAUUGAACAUCAUGAAUCCUAUGCUCAAGUGAGAUCAGCUCAAGUGAGACCAGAUAUCUGAAGACCUUUUCAUUUUCGCCACCCUCAAAUGAAGGCAUGCAAGUUCAAUCUUAGACAUCUGUCAUGUGAGUUUACAGUGAGAAGAUGGCCAUCUAUGAACCAAGAAGUAGGCAUUGUCCAGACACCAAAUCUGCUGGCACCUUGAUCUUGGGACUUCCCAGCCUCCAGAACUGUGAGAAAUAAAUUUAUGUUGUUUAUAAGCCA
ensembl:lncRNA LINC00534 long intergenic non-protein coding RNA 534